GGAAAAUUUGCAUGUUUCCUCAUUUACGAGGCCAUUAAUUGGACAAAGAGUUGCUUCUUUUUGGCCAUGCAAUCAAACCUUGUUUUAAUAUGAAUCAGAGAAAAGACAAAACAAAUAGUUUGGCCAGUCAUAUUAUAGGGUGUAUUUUUUCUACCCCACCUAGUCUUGGUUCUGUCCUCAAUCCCAGCUGGCUAAAAUCAUGUGUAGGCCUUAUAUGCACUACAUACUCGACCAAAUGGUUUUUCUUCACUGGGAAUGAUUUUCAUGGAUUUUAAUUUACUGCUUAGCUUGAAGAUUUGAUCACUGCCUGUCUCAGCUCUUUAGCAUGUGGACACAACAAGAAAAUACGACAAGUGUGAACCACUGGCCAGGCCUGGAGACAAUUAUUCCUGUCUGCUCUCCCAGAGGACCCAUGAGGUUUUCUUGCACUACACCUUUUCUUGCACCUUCUCUGACAAAUUGUUCUGAAUCUGAAUGAGUACCUCUACACUGCCUCCUCUCUCUGUUUAUGAGAGCUCACUGGAGCAGAAAAUUGAAGGUAUGCCCUGCUUAAACCAUCCAAUAGUGAUCUAGUAAAACCUGGUCCAGUAAAGCACUAUUCUAUCCUCCAUGGUUGAUUAAACACACUGAAUUUGGAUCAUUACAUCUGAUCAAAUUUUGUCCCUUUUUGGGCUUUAUGCCACAGAGACAGGAAUGGAUCCAUUUUAGCAAGUGUGUAAAUAAGGUGUAAUUGCAAAUCUCUGGCUAAAUACCGGGCCACAUGUCCAAACGGACAGACUGGCUGUUAUUCACUCAGCUGAGCUGUUUAUGUUAAUGUGGAGUUAAUGCUUU
ensembl:lncRNA